rnacentral:rRNA from 1 species
AGAGUUUGAUCAUGGCUCAGAUUGAACGCUGGCGGAAUGCUUUACACAUGCAAGUUCUAACGGCAGCACGGGAGCUUGCUCCUGGUGGCGAGUGGCGAACGGGUGAGUAAUGCGUCGGAACGUGCCGAGUAAUGGGGGAUAACGCAGCGAAAGUUGUGCUAAUACCGCAUACGCCCUGAGGGGGAAAGUGGGGGAUCGCAAGACCUCACGUUAUUCGAGCGGCCGACGUCUGAUUAGCUAGUUGGUGGGGUAAAGGCCUACCAAGGCGACGAUCAGUAGCGGGUCUGAGAGGAUGAUCCGCCACACUGGGACUGAGACACGGCCCAGACUCCUACGGGAGGCAGCAGUGGGGAAUUUUGGACAAUGGGGGCAACCCUGAUCCAGCCAUUCCGCGUGAGUGAAGAGGGCCUUCGGGUUGUAAAGCACUUUUGUUCGGGAAGAAAUCGUGCGGAUUAAUACUUCGUACGGAUGACGGUACCGAAAGAAUAAGCACCGGCUAACUUCGUGCCAGCAGCCGCGGUAAUACGAAGGGUGCAAGCGUUACUCGGAAUCACUGGGCGUAAAGCGUGCGUAGGCGGUUGGUUAAGUCUGCUGUGAAAGCCCUGGGCUCAACCUGGGAACUGCAGUGGAUACUGGCCAGCUAGAGUGUGAUAGAGGAUGGUGGAAUUCCCGGUGUAGCGGUGAAAUGCGUAGAGAUGUGGAGGAACACCGAUGGCGAAGGCAGCCCCCUGGGAUGACACUGACGCUCAUGUACGAAAGCGUGGGUAGCAAACAGGAUUAGAUACCCNUGGUAGUCCACGCCCUAAACGAUGUCAACUGGUUGUUGGGGGAGUGAAAUCCCUUAGUAACGAAGCUAACGCGUGAAGUUGACCGCCUGGGGAGUACGGUCGCAAGAUUAAAACUCAAAGGAAUUGACGGGGACCCGCACAAGCGGUGGAUGAUGUGGAUUAAUUCGAUGCAACGCGAAAAACCUUACCUACCCUUGACAUGUCCGGAAUCCUGCAGAGAUGCGGGAGUGCCCGAAAGGGAAUCGGAACACAGGUGCUGCAUGGCUGUCGUCAGCUCGUGUCGUGAGAUGUUGGGUUAAGUCCCGCAACGAGCGCAACCCUUAUCAUUAGUUGCUACGCAAGGGCACUCUAAUGAGACUGCCGGUGACAAACCGGAGGAAGGUGGGGAUGACGUCAAGUCCUCAUGGCCCUUAUAGGUGGGGCUACACACGUCAUACAAUGGCCGGUACAAAGGGCAGCCAACCCGCGAGGGGGAGCCAAUCCCAUAAAGCCGGUCGUAGUCCGGAUCGCAGUCUGCAACUCGACUGCGUGAAGUCGGAAUCGCUAGUAAUCGUGGAUCAGCAUGUCACGGUGAAUACGUUCCCGGGUCUUGUACACACCGCCCGUCACACCAUGGGAGCGGGUCUCGCCAGAAGUAGGUAGCCUAACCGCAAGGAGGGCGCUUACCACGGCGGGGUUCGUGACUGGGGUGAAGUCGUAANCAAGGUA